UUCUUGUAAGCCUAUGUAAGGCCUUUGGUUUUAUUGAAUGUUAAGAAGAAAAUUGGUAGUAAAAAUGUCUCUUCUUCUUUAUCUAUUUUUUGGAGCCUAACCCACUCAACGGGUCUGUUGGGAGAUUAGCCAUCUCGAAUCGGCUUAUAACAUUUGUCAAUUAAAUUUGGUUACAUGUUUUUUUUUUGUCCGAAAACUACUGGGUGGAAUGGUGGAUAGAGGAAAGUAGAGAAACAUAUUUACAUGUCAAAAACAUGAUUAAAGACAAUAAGAGGAAAGGAAACUAAACUCAAUCUAGUACUCUGUGUGCUAAGGAUAAUAAGACUGUGCACGAACCGGAGAAAGAGGGAUCAGACGCAAAAAGAAGCAAAUAAGAUGAAGGAUGGAAUGGAAAAGGACAAGAAAAGGGGAAUCAGAAACCUACAUAGGAAAAAGCAAAUAUACGAAAGCCACCAAAGUACUAAAGUCAUUUUAAGCAAGAAGGGUCAUCUACACAGCAGUAGCCAUGCCGCCAUUUUCACCCAACCCGUUUUGACCCCAAUCCAUUUGACAUGUUUUUCUAAAAGCUACCGAUUCAGAGACGAACCCAAUUUGACACUUUACACAACCGAACCCAACCCAACCCAACCCGUCCUGACAGUUUGGACAUAUUACACAACCUGACCCAACCCACCGUUUGUUUGCCAGUCAUAUUAAUGACAUUCUAAGACAUGUAAAAAUGUAUUAGACCUUAAUCACACCUUAAACAUAACUGUUACGAACUACCAUGCUGCACAAGACUGACCCGACCCGAGACCUAGAAUGAUGCGGAAAUUGGAAACCAGAACCGGACCCUUUUGUAACUUCGCUGACUGGUAAAGGACCGUGACCAAUAAGGAGCUGCCAAACGGUGUAUGGAGCAACAGUAGUGAGCUGAAUUAUUAGAAUUCUAUUGAAUUGAGCUUCGGCACGCAUACCGCCUGUUUGAUGAAAAUCCUGUGAGUUUUGACUCCACUUUAAAUUAGCAUUGCUGGGUAAGCAGUUUCUGUAACUUUCAUCGAGGGAUGUGGGUAAGAAGUAUGUAAUAACGUAUUAUAAAUGUGGCUUGGGCUCAAAAUAAAACAGAAUCCAAUUA